AUUGAACGCUGGCGGCAGGCCUAACACAUGCAAGUCGAGCGGAUGAAGGGAGCUUGCUCCUGGAUUCAGCGGCGGACGGGUGAGUAAUGCCUAGGAAUCUGCCUGGUAGUGGGGGAUAACGUCCGGAAACGGGCGCUAAUACCGCAUACGUCCUGAGGGAGAAAGUGGGGGAUCUUCGGACCUCACGCUAUCAGAUGAGCCUAGGUCGGAUUAGCUAGUUGGUGGGGUAAAGGCCUACCAAGGCGACGAUCCGUAACUGGUCUGAGAGGAUGAUCAGUCACACUGGAACUGAGACACGGUCCAGACUCCUACGGGAGGCAGCAGUGGGGAAUAUUGGAAAAUGGGCGAAAGCCUGAUCCAGCCAUGCCGCGGGGGUGAAGAAGGUCUUCGGAUUGUAAAGCACUUUAAGUUGGGAGGAAGGGCAGUAAGUUAAGACCUUGCUGUUUUGACGUUACCAACAGAAUAAACACCGGCUAACUUCGU
rnacentral:rRNA from 1 species